rnacentral:rRNA from 1 species
AUAAAACGAGAGUUUGAUCCUGGCUCAGGACGAACGCUGGCGGCGUGCCUAACACAUGCAAGUCGAACGAAGUAUGUUUUUCGGAAUAUACUUAAGUGGCGGACGGGUGAGUAACGCGUGAACAAUCUGCCCUGUACAAAGGAAUAGCCUCGGGAAACCGGGAUUAAAACCAUAUGACACUUGAUGAUCGCAUGAUUGACAAGUCAAAUCGAUAGAGGUAUGGGAUGAGUUCGCGUCUGAUUAGCUAGUUGGU